AUCGCUUCUCGGCCUUAUGGCUAAGAUCAAAGUGUAGUAUCUGUUCUUAUCAGCUUACAUCUGAUAGAUCCACAUUGGUGGGACAACAAAUGAUUAAACUGAUUUUGGAAAUAGACGUGAGAGUUUAGGAGCCUUGCUCAAUUUCUGUCACCGGGUUGAAAGCCUGGCAUUGCAGUCACGGUUGCACUUAUGUACUUUAG